rnacentral:rRNA from 1 species
UACGUAGGGUGCAAGCGUUGUCCGGAAUUAUUGGGCGUAAAGAGCUCGUAGGCGGUUUGUUGCGUCGGGUGUGAAAUCCCGAGGCUCAACCUCGGGUCUGCAGUCGAUACGAGCAAACUAGAGUGUUGCAGGGGAGACUGGAAUUCCUGGUGUAGCGGUGAAAUGCGCAGAUAUCAGGAGGAACACCUGUGGUGUAGACAGCGUACUGGACCAUGUCUGACGCUGAGACACGAAAGCGUGGGGAGCGAACAGG